rnacentral:rRNA from 1 species
GAUGAACGCUGGCGGCGUGCCUAAUACAUGCAAGUCGAGCGAACAGACGAGGAGCUUGCUCCUCUGACGUUAGCGGCGGACGGGUGAGUAACACGUGGAUAACCUACCUAUAAGACUGGGAGAACUUCGGGAAACCGGAGCUAAUACCGGAUAAUAUAUUGAACCGCAUGGUUCAAUAGUGAAAGACGGUUUUGCUGUCACUUAUAGAUGGAUCCGCGCCGCAUUAGCUAGUUGGUAAGGUAACGGCUUACCAAGGCGACGAUGCGUAGCCGACCUGAGAGGGUGAUCGGCCACACUGGAACUGAGACACGGUCCAGACUCCUACGGGAGGCAGCAGUAGGGAAUAUUCCGCAAUGGGCGAAAGCCUGACGGAGCAACGCCGCGUGAGUGAUGAAGGUCUUCGGAUCGUAAAACUCUGUUAUUAGGGAAGAACAAAUGUGUAAGUAACUAUGCACGUCUUGACGGUACCUAAUCAGAAAGCCACGGCUAACUACGUG